rnacentral:sRNA from 1 species
UACUUUAGUAAUGAACGAGCUGUUUCUUC